CUUGAAAAAAAAGUUAAGAUUUUUAUACGACCGCAAAUUUUGAAAAAAAUUUCGUCGUAUAUUGCUAUCACGUUGGCGUCGGCGUCGUCGUCGUCGUCGUCGUCGUCGUCGUCGUCCGGCGUCCGAAUACUUUUAGUUUUCGCACUCUAACUUUAGUAAAAGUGAAUGGAAAUCUAUGAAAUUUUAACACAAGGUUUAUGACCACAAAAGGAAGGUUGGUAUAUAUUUUGGGAGUUUUGGUCCCAACAUUUUAGGAAUUAGGGGCCAA
rnacentral:lncRNA from 1 species